CAAGAUGUAGCUUAACCAAAGCACCCGGCUUACACCCGGAAGACUUCAUACUCCCAUGAACGUCUUGA
rnacentral:tRNA from 1 species